GACAGAGGAGCCAAGCGUUGUCCGGAUUUAUUGGGCGUAAAGGGUGCGCAGGCUGUAUGGUAAGUUUGGUGUGAAAUCCUGGAGCUUAACUCCAGAAUUGCACUGAAUACUGCCGUGCUAGAGGACUGGAGAGGAGAUUGGAAUUCACGGUGUAGCAGUGAAAUGCGUAGAUAUCGUGAGGAAGACCAGUGGCGAAGGCGAAUCUCUGGACAGUUCCUGACGCUCAUGCACGAAGGCCAGGGGAGCAAACGGG
rnacentral:rRNA from 1 species